GACGAACGCUGGCGGCGUGCUUAACACAUGCAAGUCGAACGAGAGCGUAGAGAAAGCUUGCUAUUUCUACAAACUAGUGGAAAACGGGUGAGUAACGCGGAAACAACCUGCCCUACGGAUGGGGACAACAGCUGGAAACGGCUGCUAAUAGCGAAUACGUUCCGAAAGUCGCAGGACUGUCUGAAGAAAGGAUGGGCUCUAUUUAUAAGCUAUCGCCGGGGGGGGGGUGUGGGUCUGAUUCGCUAGUUGGAGGGGUAACGGCCCACCGAGGCGGCGAUGGGUAGCCGGUCUGAGGAGGUGGACGGGGCCAGUGGGGCUGAGACGCGGUCCAGACUCCGACAGGAGGCCGCAGUGGGGACUCUUGCGAGAUGGGCGAAAGACUGACGGAGCGACGCCGGGCGGGUGAAGACGGCCUUCGGGUUGGAAAGCUCUGUUAUGCGGGUAGAACACUUUUGUGGUUAAUACCCAGGAGAAGUGACGGUACCGUAAGAGAAAGCAACGGCUAACUACGUG
rnacentral:rRNA from 1 species